rnacentral:lncRNA from 1 species
GGCACUUGGGGGUCAGAGGCACUUGGGGGUCAGUGACAUUGGGGACAGUGGCACUUGGGGGACAGUGGCACUUGAGGGUCAGUGACAUUUGGGGAGAGUGGCACUUGGAGGUCAGUGACAUUUGGGGUCAGUGGCACUUGGGGGUCGGUGACAUUUGGGGUCAGUGACAUUUGGGGUCAGUGGCACUUGGGGGUCAGUGACAUUUGGGGAGAGUGGCACUUGGGGGUCCGUGGCACUUGGGGGUCAGUGGCACUUGGGGGUCAGGUGGUGACACCUCCACUCUGGGUGUCCCCAACAGUCGGUGGCACUGUCCCUUGUGUCCCCUCUGUCCCCAGUGUCCCCACUCCCAGUGUCACCUCCCAUGUUGUCCCUUCCUACAGUGUCACCUCCACUCCCGGUGUCCCCAGCAGUCGGUGGCACUGUCCCAGGUGUCCCCUCUGUCGCCAGUGUCCCCACUCCCGGUGUCACCUCCACUCCGGGUGUCCCCAACAGUCGGUGCCACUGUCCCUUGUGUCCCCUCUGUCCCCAGUGUCCCCACUCCCAGUGUCACCUCCACUCCCGGUGUCCCCAACAGUCGGUGGCACUGUCCCUUGUGUCCCCUCUGCCCCGAAUGUCCCCACUCCCGGUGUCCCCUCCACUCCCGGUGUCCCCAACAGUCGGUGGCACUGUCCCUGCUGUCCCCUCCACUCCCAGUGUCCCCUCCCAGGGUGUCCCCUCCCAUGGUGUCCCUUCUCCCAGUGUCCCCUCCACUCUCGGUGUCCCCAACAGUCAGUGCCACUGUUCCUUGUGUCCCCUGUCCCCAUUGUCCCCUCUCCCGGUGUCCCCUCCCGUUGUGUCCCAACAGUCAGAUUCCCCUGCACUCCCUGAGUCCUCCCCACUCCGUGUCCCCCCCCAGCUCCGUGGGGUUCUGUGCUGUGGGGCUGCGGGUGUUGGUGCUGCGGGUGUUGUUGCUGCAGGUGUUGUUGCUCCCAUGGGUGUUGUUGCUGCGGGUGUUGUUGCUCCCAUGGGUGUUGUUGCUGUGGGUGUUGUUGAUCCCAUGGGUGUUGUUGCUGCGGGUGUUAAUGCUGCGGGUGUUGUUGCUCCCAUGGGUGUUGUUGCUGCGGGUGUUGGUGCUGCGGGUGCUGUUAAUGCUGCAGCUGUUGUCUCUGCGGGUGUUGGUGCUGCAGGUGUCAGUGCUGCGGGUGUUGUUGAUCCCAUGGGUGUUGGUGCUGUGGGUGUUGCUGAUCCCAUGGGUGUUGGUGCUGCGGGUGUUGGUGCUGCGGGUGUUGUUGAUCCCAUGGGUGUCGGUGCUGCGGGUGUUGGUGCUGCGGGUGUUGCUGAUCC